UACGUAGGGUGCAAGCGUUGUCCGGAAUUAUUGGGCGUAAAGAGCUCGUAGGCGGUUUGUCGCGUCUGCUGUGAAAACUCGGGGCUUAACCCCGGGCCUGCAGUGGGUACGGGCAGACUAGAGUGCGGUAGGGGAGACUGGAAUUCCUGGUGUAGCGGUGAAAUGCGCAGAUAUCAGGAGGAACACCGGUGGCGAAGGCGGGUCUCUGGGCCACUACUGACGCUGAGAAGCGAAAGCAUGGGGAGCGAACAGG
rnacentral:rRNA from 1 species